AUUUAGCGGCGUUCUCUCUCCAAUGUCGAGCAAAAAAUCCCGACCAUUUUCCUUCUCCAGCUUUCAUGUUGACGAUAUUUUCUGUAACGGCGACUUCAAUCCAGACCAAUAUCGGAGCAAAUCGAAGACAAAUUGGGGAAAAGAAGACUCCGAAUCAGUUGUACAAGCCCUCAAGAUUCCAGACGAGUGGUUGCUCCCUUCCAGGGCCAUUGAGGUGCUUUCUCGCUUCGAUCAAAUGCCAAAUUUCCAAAGCGAUUGAUUUUUGUGUUUAGCGAUUCCUCUGUUUCUAGUUUCGAAUUUCCGCCACUUUUCUCCUUCUUCUUUCUGGGUUUCGCGCCGUCCUCGCGUUUCUUCUUCCAUCCUUUGGUUUCUGGUGCCUCGCCGUAGAAUCCUUUGCAGAAAAAUAGCUAUCACAAAGGGAAGUGCUGGAUAUUCCACUGCUACAGCUCCUGGUGAUUCCAACGGGUGUCAGCAUUCGGGUCAUCAACGGUCUUUUACUGUUGACUUUAGUGGAGAGUGGAAACUUAAUAUAGGAUCCAACUUGGCGAGAAUGGUUCCACCAACUGUGAAACAAGCUGGAGCUGUGUAAGUGUUUGGAGGAAGGAGGAAGUCAAUCAAUAUGGAAAUCUUGUCCAUGCUUGCCAUACAGAGGUAUGUGGUCAUGUGUUUGCUGUUACAUUGUUAUUCACAAAGCAAUGAAAUGCUAAUGCACUUGACUUAUAGACGCUUCUUGUAAUGUUUCUUUUGUUCUCUGCUUAUCGAUUCUUUAGGUGUACACAAUUGAUGUAAAGAAUGAAACACCUGUGAUAAUCAAAUUUUAUACAAACAUUUUUAAGAG